GACGAACGCUGGCGGCGUGCUUAACACAUGCAAGUCGAACGGAAAGGCCCUGCUUUUGUGGGGUGCUCGAGUGGCGAACGGGUGAGUAACACGUGAGUAACCUGCCCUUGACUUUGGGAUAACUUCAGGAAACUGGGGCUAAUACCGGAUAGGAGCUCCUGCUGCAUGGUGGGGGUUGGAAAGUUUCGGCGGUUGGGGAUGGACUCGCGGCUUAUCAGCUUGUUGGUGGGGUAGUGGCUUACCAAGGCUUUGACGGGUAGCCGGCCUGAGAGGGUGACCGGCCACAUUGGGACUGAGAUACGGCCCAGACUCAUACGGGAGGCAGCAGUGGGGAAUAUUGCACAAUGGGCGGAAGCCUGAUGCAGCAACGCCGCGUGCGGGAUGACGGCCUUCGGGUUGUAAAACGCUUUCGCCUGUGACGAAGCGUGAGUGACGGUAAUGGGUAAAGAAGCACCGGCUAACUACGU
rnacentral:rRNA from 1 species